GGGCCUUUGGAGCCGGCCUGAGCCGGAGUGCAAGCUCUGUCUCUCCGAGCUCAGGACUUGGCGCUUUUGGGUGCAAAGCGAGUGGCCCACAGAACUCCCGCUCUUGAGGAGGCCCGAGUCUAGGAGGGGAGAGAUUUGGAGAAACCGGUAAUUGCAGUGCAGAGAAGCAAAGCGAAAUAAGUAAAUAAAUAAGGAAUUUCAGCUCCGCGAAGGCAGUGGUUUUUGUCCUCUUACUGUAUUCCCAGUGCCUGAAAUGUGGCUGGCAGGAAACUUUCAUCUUGGCCACGUGUGUACUGUGUGCACGCCAGCCUAAAUAUGCAUCUGUGAGCAUACAUGCACUGGAUCUUGAUGC